AUUGCUCUUGGUUUCUGAAGACACAAAAGAAUCUGACAAUCCAGAUUUUAAGCUGUGUAGCUCUUGAUAGUGGGGUAAUCGAUUGCUGGGCAUUGCACGCUGCCCAUUCCCCAGGGAGGUACGUUUGCUUUUGUGGUAAUUUCUCUGGCCAUGCUCUCCCUUCCCUCCUGGAAUUGCCCUGAGUGGACACUCAGUGCCAGCCAGGUGAACACCAACUUUCCAGAAUUCACUGAGAAAUGGCAGAAGAGGAUCCAAGAGCUGGCUUGGUGAGCCUCUAGGGGUGGCCAACCUGAGCUCCUGCAUUCCUGUCUUUCCAGCAGGAGUUCAAGCUGCCCCUGAGCACAAAGGCCCUUCCUGCCCAGCUCCUGGAGAGCCUCCCUCUGCCCACUCGGUGCGGUGAUUUGGAAAGGCCAGGAAACUAACCGCAGAAAAACAAAUACUGUUCCGUGACCCCAGGGAUUAGAAAAUCAGAAACCGGCCGGGCGCGCCAGAAGGCAAACUGCACCUCCAACCUGCUAAAUGCAAAGCCCUGGUGUCCCCAGGCGAGGGCGAGGGUGGUUCCCGUGCCCCAUCCACGCCACCCCGGUGGGCCUGCUCACCUCCUCGGGCGUGGAGACCAGCGAGCAGCUGGCCCCCUGGCUGUCCACGCCGCUGUCCUUCACGCUGCCCUCGGCACAGGCCGGCUCUCGGCAGGCCUCCGCCAGGGUCGCAGGGCCGCGGUGCUUCUGCGCCCAGGCCUGCCGGAGGCUGGCCUUCCUCUCCUCCGAGAGGUUCUGCCACAGGUGGGAGAUGGCCGCGGAGACGAUGGGCAGCGCCGCCUCCUGCGGGGUAAUGAUCCCGCUGCCAGUCAGAAGGUCCAUCGUCUGUUUGUAAAAGUUGAGAUACCUGGAACAGAAGCGGCGCCGUCUCGCACCCCUAAAGCUCCCUCUCGAAGCGAUUCGGGAUUCGGUUCAUGGUGUGGACCCCAGCACGCAGGCCCGGCCACGGCGCCACGGCUCACCAGGGCUGAGACUUCUCAGACUCUGCACGCCCCUGGCCCUUGGAGAGCAGCAGCCUUCCUGGGGGCCAUGAAGGACAUAGACUUGGGCUUUGGGGCCCCUCCCCAAGUUCUCCCAGUCCCUGCCCCAUGAAGCCUUCUGUGUUAGACAGAAGCAGAUAAGAGGCGUAGCUGCCUCAGCUCUCAUCCUAA
rnacentral:lncRNA from 1 species